rnacentral:rRNA from 1 species
GACGAACGCUGGCGGCGUGCUUAACACAUGCAAGUCGAACGCUGAAGCCCUUCGGGGUGGAUGAGUGGCGAACGGGUGAGUAACACGUGGGUAAUCUGCCCUGCACUCUGGGAUAAGCCUUGGAAACGGGGUCUAAUACCGGAUAGGACACAUCGCCGCAUGGUGUGUGUGUGGAAAGUUCCGGCGGUGCAGGUUGAGCCCGCGGCCUAUCAGCUUGUUGGUGGGGUGAUGGCCUACCAAGGCGACGACGGGUAGCCGGCCUGAGAGGGUGACCGGCCACACUGGGACUGAGACACGGCCCAGACUCCUACGGGAGGCAGCAGUGGGGAAUCUUGCGCAAUGGGCGAAAGCCUGACGCAGCAACGGCGCGUGGGGGAUGACGGCCUUCGGGUUGUAAACCUCUUUCGACCGGGACGAAGGAUUCGUUUGAUGGUACCGGUAGAAGAAGCACCGGCUAACUACGUGCCAGCCGCCGCCGUAA